rnacentral:rRNA from 1 species
CCUACGGGGGGCAGCAGUGGGGAAUAUUGGGCAAUGGGCGCAAGCCUGACCCAGCAACGCCGCGUGAAGGAAGACGGCUUUCGGGUUGUAAACUUCUUUUGUUAGAGAAGAUAAUGACGGUAUCUAACGAAUAAGCACCGGCUCACUCCGUGUCAGCAGCCGCGGUAAUACGGCAGGUGCAAGCGUUACUCGGAAUCACUGGGCGUAAAGGGCGCGUAGGCGGGAUAGCAAGUCAGAUGUGAAAUCCUAUGGCUUAACCAUAGAACUGCAGUUGAAACUGUUAUUCUAGAGUAUGGGAGAGGUAGGUGGAAUGCUUGGUGUAGGGGUAAAAUCCGUAGAGAUCAAGAGGAAUACUCAUUGCGAAGGCGACCUGCUAGAACAUGACUGACGCUGAGGCGCGAAAGCGUGGGGAGCGAACAGGAUUAGAUACCCGAGUAGUC